rnacentral:rRNA from 1 species
AUUGAACGCUGGCGGAAUGCUUUACACAUGCAAGUCGAACGGCAGCACGGGUGCUUGCACCUGGUGGCGAGUGGCGAACGGGUGAGUAAUACAUCGGAACGUACCCAGUUGUGGGGGAUAACUAACCGAAAGGUUAGCUAAUACCGCAUACGACCUGAGGGUGAAAGCGGGGGACCGUAAGGCCUCGCGCAAUUGGAGCGGCCGAUGUCUGAUUAGCUAGUUGGUGAGGUAAAGGCUCACCAAGGCAACGAUCAGUAGCUGGUCUGAGAGGAUGAUCAGCCACACUGGAAAUGAGACACGGUCCAGACUCCUACGGGAGGCAGCAGUGGGGAAUUUUGGACAAUGGGGGAAACCCUGAUCCAGCCAUUCCGCGUGAGUGAAGAAGGCCUUCGGGUUGUAAAGCUCUUUCGGCAGGGAAGAAACGCUCUGGCUUAAUACGCCGGGGUAAUGACGGUACUUGAAGAAGAAGCACCGGCUAACUACGUGCCAGCCGCCGCCGUAAUAU